rnacentral:rRNA from 1 species
AUUGAACGCUGGCGGCAGGCCUAACACAUGCAAGUCGAACGGUAACAGGAAGCAGCUUGCUGCUUCGCUGACGAGUGGCGGACGGGUGAGUAAUGUCUGGGAAACUGCCUGAUGGAGGGGGAUAACUACUGGAAACGGUAGCUAAUACCGCAUAACGUCGCAAGACCAAAGAGGGGGACCUUCGGGCCUCUUGCCAUCGGAUGUGCCCAGAUGGGAUUAGCUAGUAGGUGGGGUAACGGCUCACCUAGGCGACGAUCCCUAGCUGGUCUGAGAGGAUGACCAGCCACACUGGAACUGAGACACGGUCCAGACUCCUACGGGAGGCAGCAGUGGGGAAUAUUGCACAAUGGGCGCAAGCCUGAUGCAGCCAUGCCGCGUGUAUGAAGAAGGCCUCGG